GUCAACUAUCCCUCCCUUAAUGGGAGGGGCUUGUAGGUAAUUACAAGUCGGGUUGAUCAGGAUAAUUACGGAGCAGAUCGAUGCAAAGAAGUAACUACGUAAAUGAUAAGCUAUACAAGAUCCAUUCCGGGGUACUUCUUCAGUCCCGGCCCCUGGA
rnacentral:sRNA from 1 species